AUGGCGGAGCGUGCUUCUCACGGACUGGCUCCUCGAUUAGAUAUUCAGCAGUUACAUCGUGAAGCCCAGCAUCGGUGGUUACGUCCUGCAGAAAUAUUGGAAAUUCUUAGUAAUUUUAAGUUGUUUCAAAUCACGCCAGAACCGCCUAAUAGGCCACCGAGUUUUGAGAUAUUUCAGAAAGGAUGGACACAACUGGAGAAAGAAGAAAGAUGGAAAAACUGUGAGGGAAGCUCACGAAAAGUUGAAGGUGGGAAGUGUUGA
rnacentral:lncRNA from 1 species